AGUUUGUUUUGGUAACGACCCGGCUUGGUGCGUAAACAGGUCGAAAUCGGCUAUAAAUUGGGGCCAUAGUUACAAUACAUUCACUUGCUCUGGGCCUGUUUAACCACAGCUGUGAUUGAGGAUCCUUGUGAUAGACUUUCUGCAGUGGAACAAUGUCGUCGUCUAUUCCUUGCGUGUUUGUCGCUCUUUUGAUGCACACAUGUGUGGUACCUCGUGGAGCUCAUGGAGCUGUUACCGAUACUGCUUGCACAAGCGGAGGCUCGGAAUG